GGCAAAAUGUCAACAGUUUGGUAAAUCUAGAUGAUGGGUAUAUUGGGGUUCAUUAUACUAUUUUUUUCAUGCCUCUGCAGAUUUUUUUCUUUUCUAAAGUUAGGAGAAGAAAGUAUUUUGGUUUUCAUGACAUGCAUCUUACCUUCACUAGCUCUUCAACUUUUAAAUUUCUAUACAAUAGGCUUAUGACUUGGAGAAGAAGAAAAGACAACAACCCUUAGUAGGCCAACUGCUUUAGAAUGUGCACUUCCAUUGGAACCCCUAUUUUCUUACAGCAUGUCGGCAAGUCUGUGUUCCUAAUCAACUGUGAAAUUUCAUGAAGGUGGGUACUCUGUUCUAAUCUCAGAAUGUGGUACAGCAUUAUGGCAUGAAACAGAACUCAAUAAACACUAACUGAAUAAAGAAAUGGGUAAAAUAAAGAUUAAAGCGAGGAUUUUUCAAGAAAAAUUGUAUCUUUUUAAAAAUUGUAUGCAAUAAUGUGGAUUCUCUAAAAUGACUAGUAGGAGAGAGAGGAGGGACCAACUUAUAAGGAAGCUUUCAAAUGUUAUUGUUAGUCACAUGGGCCUUUGUGAGAGGGUUGGGAGAAGUCUCUGGAAUAGAAAAUAAAUAGAAAAGGAAUAUGUUUUUGGAGUAUAAAUGAUCAUUACCUUGUUUCAGGAGCCACAGUUCACCCAGAGGCCAGAGGCCUGGCUGAGUUGUUUGUCCUAAACUUAAUAUAUUUGCUAUAUAGUUCUGUUAAUGAAUAGAAUUCUGUAAACCAAUAAUUACACUUUAUGUCUUAAUUGAGCACUUAGAAAUUCAAGAUACAUGAAUUAUUUUUCUGAGCUAUUUACCAAGCCUAUUUAAACUUGUGAGUUUUAAAAAUGAAGCAAACUCUUUCCCUGAGAUAAGCUUUUUACUUCUUUUGCAAGGUAGCUAUUUCAGUAAUAUUUGGUAUGGCACUAUAAUGAAAUCUGUCAGGAAUUAGAAGGAUGAGUACUUUACUAUAACUGAAAAAUGAGCAUGUUUGAGAAUUUCUGAUAACACUAAUGAGUUAGUGUUUCAAAUGAAAAUAAUUAAGUCAACAAAAAGAAAUUCUUCUUGGAUCAGUCUUCAGGACUGAGUAAUACUGAUAAAGAAAUAUCACUUGAAAGGAGCUUUUUGUCUUUAAAUGAAGAUAAAUUAAAAGGGUAACUAGGAUUUGCCACCUGCAAUACUGAUACCUACUAGCACAGAAUCAAAGCUAGAGUAUAAAAGAAAAUUCUCUAUAAGUCACUGGGCAAUUUUUAAGAACUCAUUUUUUGGGGGGAGCAAGAAAAGUAGUCAGACAAAUCAGUCCAAGGUGAGGUAUCUUUGGAAAAUUUAAUUUGGACCAUAUUUU
rnacentral:lncRNA from 10 species